CAUGGCAAAUAAAACAUGGCAAACAAAAGCAGGCGGCGAAUGGUCACGACUAACCAAACACUGCAUUUAGCAUACUGACAUAGCAUUAAUCUUUCUAAAAUUCCACUUGGGCAUUCAUCCAUAACUUAUCUUCAGGUAUACAUGUAAUUUUUAAGGGAAAACACGAUUUCUAAGUUAUGCUAUAAGGACAUGCAGUUCAUCUCUCGUAAUAACAUAUCCAACUCAACGUCUUUCACAGACAUGUUUAAUUAAAACACUACGGCAGUGGAGCGCUGACACAUCUACACACGACGAAAGCUAUAACAAUACUGAUUAGGAAAUACGGCUUACGGCGCGGAGUGAAGCAUAGCCUCACGCAAACAAGGCGAGGAGGAGCUCAUUUGGCUGACAUAUGGAAUACGUAUAUACGUGCUUGCAGUGACCUUGAGAAAUUGUCUGAAUGCAUAAACAAGAACUGGCUGAGAUUUAAUCCGAAGAACCAACCAAACGUUUCCAUUUGAGUUUGACAUCUAUUUAUUCCGCCUCGACCAUCAGUAUUCAUUUGUGACUAUACAAUUUUUGUCAACAUUGGAACAGAAUUGAAAACUUUCAAGAAUUUGCUGAAUGGAAGCAGCACAUACAGUUCAUCUAAUUGUCGCCAAAGUUGAUAUGCUGCUAGUUGUUAAUUUCUUUUAAAACAUUUCGAUGUUUUUUCCCCAACUCAAUAAGUAAAUUCUCCCUUUUUCGUAUGUAUUUGAUUAGAGUAACAAUCUCCUUAGCGUUAUGUCGUGGAAAGAUUCCGACCAACUCACUAUGUGACUAAAGGGAGACUGACUCGUGAACACUCGACAAUUUUUAUUACGCAUUGACAAUUCGUUUAUAUAUGUUUUCCAGCAAUUUAAUCUAACACAAAAAUAUAAGUAUCAGCCCUUCCAUUUUUAAUAGCAGCAGCUUAAAAACUCAGAGUCAAUGUUCCGCGAAACAUUGAUGAACAUAUUUUCCAAUCAGAAAAUUCUUUUGU